AGUGAACGCUGGCGGCGUGCUUAACACAUGCAAGUCGAACGAGAACGGAAUAUAGCUUGCUAUAGUUGUCAGCUAAGUGGCGCACGGGUGAGUAAUGUAUAGAUAACCUGCCCUUAAGAAAGGAAUAACAGUUGGAAACGACUGCUAAUGCCCUAUAUGCCUUUAAUACAUAAGUAUGCAAGGGAAACGCUUUAGUGCUUAAGGAUGGGUCUGUAUGGUAUCAGCUUGUUGGUGAGGUAAUGGCUCACCAAGGCUAUGGCGCCUAACUGGUUUGAGAGGAUGAUCAGUCACACUGGAACUGAGACACGGUCCAGACUCCUACGGGAGGCAGCAGUGGGGAAUAUUGCACAAUGGACGAAAGUCUGAUGCAGCAACGCCGCGUGGAGGAUGACACAUUUCGGUGCGUAAACUCCUUUUAUAUAGGAAGAUAAUGACGGUACUAUAUGAAUAAGCACCGGCUAACUCCGUGCCAGCCGCCGCGGUAA
rnacentral:rRNA from 1 species